rnacentral:rRNA from 1 species
GUUAGCGGCGGGCUUAACACAUGCAAGUCGAACGAGAAAGAGUCCUUCGGGGCUCGAGUACAGUGGCGCACGGGUGAGUAACACGUGGGUAAUCUACCCUCCGGCGGGGGACAACUACUGGAAACGGUGGCUAAUACCGCGUACGGCUGGAGGCUCUUCGGAGCUUUCAGAGAAAGGCUUCGGCCACCGGAGGAUGAGCCCGCGUCCCAUCAGCUUGUUGGUGAGGUAACGGCUCACCAAGGCUAAGACGGGUAGCUGGUCUGAGAGGAUGAUCAUGCCACACUGGGACUGAGACACGGCCCAGACUCCUACGGGAGGCAGCAGUGGGGAAUAUUGGACAAUGGGCGAAAGCCUGAUCCAGCCACGCCGCGUGUGUGAUGAAGGCCCUCGGGUCGUAAAGCACUGUGGGGAGGGAAGAACACAAUGACGGUACCUCCUUAGCAAGCACCGGCUAACUCCGUGCCAGCAGCCGCGGUAAUACGGAGGGUGCAAACGUUGCUCGGAAUCAUUGGGCGUAAAGCGCGCGUA